rnacentral:rRNA from 1 species
UACGGAGGGAGCUAGCGUUGUUCGGAAUUACUGGGCGUAAAGCGCGCGUAGGCGGCUUUGUAAGUUAGAGGUGAAAGCCCGGGGCUCAACCCCGGAAUUGCCUUUAAGACUGCAUCGCCUGAAUCCGGGAGAGGUGAGUGGAAUUCCGAGUGUAGAGGUGAAAUUCGUAGAUAUUCGGAAGAACACCAGUGGCGAAGGCGGCUCACUGGACCGGCAUUGACGCUGAGGUGCGAAAGCGUGGGGAGCAAACAGG